UGCAGUCGAGCGGACAGAAGGGAGCUUGCUCCCGGAUGUUAGCGGCGGACGGGUGAGUAACACGUGGGUAACCUGCCUGUAAGACUGGGAUAACUCCGGGAAACCGGAGCUAAUACCGGAUAGUUCCUUGAACCGCAUGGUUCAAGGAUGAAAGACGGUUUCGGCUGUCACUUACAGAUGGACCCGCGGCGCAUUAGCUAGUUGGUGGGGUAAUGGCUCACCAAGGCGACGAUGCGUAGCCGACCUGAGAGGGUGAUCGGCCACACUGGGACUGAGACACGGCCCAGACUCCUACGGGAGGCAGCAGUAGGGAAUCUUCCGCAAUGGACGAAAGUCUGACGGAGCAACGCCGCGUGAGUGAUGAAGGUUUUCGGAUCGUAAAGCUCUGUUGUUAGGGAAGAACAAGUGCGAGAGUAACUGCUCGCACCUUGACGGUACCUAACCAGAAAGCCACGGCUAACUACGUGCCAGCAGCCGCGGUAAUACGUAGGUGGCAAGCGUUGUCCGGAAUUAUUGGGCGUAAAGGGCUCGCAGGCGGUUUCUUAAGUCUGAUGUGAAAGCCCCCGGCUCAACCGGGGAGGGUCAUUGGAAACUGGGAAA
rnacentral:rRNA from 1 species